UGCCUGCGACAUAAGCCACACGAGGGACAGAGAGGAAUCAUUUGGGACUAACUUUGGCCCGUGCUUUGUAUGCGUCUCUCACACGCAGUGUAAUUCAGUGCCGCCACAUCGCUGUAUUGUCGGCACCCUUUUGCUUCUUUAACAGGAUAACACAUUCCACGUGGGCUCCACCAGAGUAGACAGGCAGCAGAGAGGACGACGCUGUCAAGAGUCCGUCUCUCGGACUCUCUUGUCCUCGCUGGGAGGGCUGGUCUGACUCACCCGACCUCAAAGCCUCAGCAUGACCUUUGACCCUGCGGCGCCAUCACCUGCGCCGGAAUACGUGCAACUUCACGAGUGCACUACAGACCACUCGCAUCCACUUCCACUUUUGGCAACACAACUACAAAUAUUUCCAUAUGAGAUGAACACUGACAAUAGCCUGUGUGUGUGUGUGUGUGUGUGUGUGUGUGUGUGUGUGUGUGUGUGUGUGUGUGUGCGCACACGUUCGUAUCUGUCCAUCUAUCUUUGUGGGGACAAGCUACAGAUCUUCAGAGUUUUGGAAAGUCCUCACUUCUUCAAAGGGUUGUUUGAGGGUUCAGACUUGACUUAGAGUUUGGUGUGAGGGUACAAUGUGUGUGUGUGUGUGUGUGUGUGUGUGUGUGUGUGUGUGUCUGGCCCUCGGGUCACGAUGACACCACAUGGAACAACAGCAUAUUGUGUCUUCCUCUCUCAUAUUUCUCAUCAUCAGCACAGCCGCUGUCUGGAUUCCACCGGUGUGCCGGCAGCGUGGCGGAGGGACUCGGCCGUCGACCCCCAUCCUACAAUAAUAGGAAACACACCAUCACUUUUCCACGUUCUCCCUCACUUUUACCCGCCAAUCCCACAUACAUGAGUUCCUGUUUGGGGCUCACUUGCUCCUGACUUGAUUAUUUGUUUUGGAUAAAACGCUGCAUGCUUUCUUAUCCGAGAGGCUUUGUUGCUCAUGUGCUGCUGUUUUUCUGACAACGGAGGGAGGCUGCUACACAUGCUGUAGAUAAUAUAAUGUUGAAACCACCUCUUCUGUUUUAUGCUGCAUGUGUAUGAGUAUAUAUAUAUACAUAUAUAUAAUUAUCAAAUCUACUUUGAUAUGCUACACUACUCUCUCAUUUCGAGAGACGAUUCAUUUUUGUUCUUUUAUUUUUCCUCACGUUCCACUCUGGAAGACUAGAGAAUCCAUUUUUAAACCACCUGCAGACCUGUUUUUCUUCCUCGCCCAGUAAGGACAAGGUUUUUAUUAUUUCGUCCACCACAUUUAUGUCAAUGAAUGUAGGCGAAAUAAGAGUACAGAGUACAACACCCUACAGUCAAUCAACUUCUCUCUAAAACAGUUUCAAUAACAACCGAACCGUAUAAACAUUAUAACCUUAAUUACAGUUGCAUUCAACGUCAUCAGUUAAGCUCAGACUUCUAGUAAACUAACUUCUCAUAUAAGUCUGUAUUUGUUUAUUCACAGCGUGGGAGGAGAUAACGUUGUGUACUUGGUUGACCACUAGAUGGCCACAGAGACUAAAGUAUUACUAAACUUUGACUAAAAGUCUAAGACGCUUAACUCGACGGUUUAAAGGGACGUGUUCAUCGUCAUAGUUCCCCAUGACCCCUGUCAUUAUGCCAUCUGUAUUAAAAGUAAAAAAUAUUUUACAUUACAAAAAAACAACAGAACAGCGGAAGCCACUGUGUAAAUGUUUCACCAGGUGUACAGUUUAAUUACAGUACAAUAGUUGCAAAAAUACAAUUUAAAACAAAUCAACAAGACAAAGCACACUUUAGACAAACAAGCAAGUGCUUUCCAUCUAUGAAAAGAGAGAAUGAGACGUUGCUUAGCCCAUAUAUUUCAUCUUGUGCUGUUUAUGAAAUGUAAAAAAAA